rnacentral:rRNA from 1 species
AUUGAACGCUGGCGGCAUGCUUUACACAUGCAAGUCGAACGGCAGCACGAAAGAGCUUGCUCUUUUGGUGGCGAGUGGCGAACGGGUGAGUAAUGCAUCGGAACGUACCGAGUAAUGGGGGAUAACUGUCCGAUAGGAUAGCUAAUACCGCAUACGCUUUGAGAAGGAAAGUGGGGGCUCUUCGGACCUCACGUUAUUCGAGCGGCCGAUGUCUGCUUAGCUAGUUGGUGGGGUAAAGGCCUACCAAGGCGACGAUCAGUAGCGGGUCUGAGAGGAUGAUACGCCACACUGGGACUGAGACACGGCCCAUACUCCUGCGGGAGGCAGCAGUGGGGAAUUUUGGACAAUGGGCGCAAGCCUGAUCCAGCCAUGCCACGUGUCUGAAGAAGGCCUUCGGGUUGUAAAGGACUUUUGUUAGGGAAGAAAAGGAUAGUGUUAAUACCAUGAUCUGCUGACGGUACCUAAAGAAUAAGCACCGGCUAACUACGUG